rnacentral:lncRNA from 1 species
GGCUCUGAGACAAGAAGAGCCCACGCUGAAAGGGCUCGGAUCCAGGGGCGCAGCGACGGCGUCCG